GAUGAACGCUAGCGGCAGGCUUAACACAUGCAAGUCGAGGGGUAGAAGGAGCUUGCUCCUUUGAGACCGGCGCACGGGUGCGUAACGCGUAUGCAAUCUACCUUGUACAGGGGGAUAGCCCAGAGAAAUUUGGAUUAAUACCCCAUAGUGUAAUGAAUAGGCAUCUAUUUAUUACUAAAGUUCCAACGGUACAAGAUGAGCAUGCGUCCCAUUAGCUAGUUGGUGUGGUAACGGCAUACCAAGGCAACGAUGGGUAGGGGUCCUGAGAGGGAGAUCCCCCACACUGGUACUGAGACACGGACCAGACUCCUACGGGAGGCAGCAGUGAGGAAUAUUGGUCAAUGGGCGCAAGCCUGAACCAGCCAUGCCGCGUGCAGGAUGACGGUCCUAUGGAUUGUAAACUGCUUUUGUACAGGAAGAAACACUCCCUCGUGAGGGAGCUUGACGGUACUGUAAGAAUAAGGAUCGGCUAACUCCGUGCCAGCCGCCGCAGUAACAC
rnacentral:rRNA from 1 species